rnacentral:rRNA from 1 species
GGAUUUCUGUUAAUAUUUUAUAUUAUUAAUUUAUUAUUAUUAAUAUAAUAUUAACAUAAUUCAUAUUACUUUUUUUGAGUAUAUGAAAUUUUACUUUGAGAAAAUUAGAGUGCUUAAAGCAGGCAUUUGCCUUGAAUACUCCAGCAUGGAAUAAUAUUAAAGAUUUUUAUCUUCCUUAUUGGUUCUAAGAUAGAGAUAAUGAUUAAUAGGGACAGUGGGGGCAUUUGUAUUUAACAGUCAGAGGUGAAAUUCUUAGAUUUGUUAAAGACAAACUAAUGCGAAAGCAUUUGCCAAGGAUG